AAGACUAUGCCUUCAGUGAUCAUUUCUAUAGUUCAUUACUAGGGAAGUUUCUCCGAUGGGGUAGAGCUAGAAACACAGAGGGGGCACAGGCACAGUGUUCUUUCCCAGCCAGCUCUUGGUGUUGCCUCCCUGCAACUGCCAUUUGCCAUUGAUGAUGAUUAUUUUCUUCUGAGAGAGUAAGAGGGAGAGGACACUGUCUGCGUGGU
rnacentral:snoRNA from 1 species